CUUGGACCCCACAGGUCCAGGCUGGCGCUGGCCUGGGCUCCACAGCCUCCCAAGGCCCUCAUGGGGGCCUUGGGCGGGGGCAUCAGCCAUGACCGGAGGUUUAGAGUUCUGGUUCCGCCGAUCUCAUUUGGGGCGUCGGAUAAAAAUCCAGGCUUCCGGACCCACCCCACACUGCAUCAGAGUCAUCAGGAAACUCUGGUUGUAGCAGGCGCCACAAGUGAGCUGGUUUGACCACUGACUUAGUUCAACACCGCCAUUUCGCGUGUAGAAAAGUGAACCCCGAGAAGACACAGAACUUACCUGAAGUCACCAGGCAGUUAGGCAGCAGGGCCGAGGGCUGCCCAGGAGCUGCAGGACAAGCACCAGGAGCCCCUCCGGGUAGCUACUACCCUGGACCCCCCAAUAGUGGAGGGCAGUAUGGUAGUGGGCUACCCCCUGGUGGUGGUUAUGGGGGUCCUGCCCCUGGAGGGCCUUAUGGACCACCAGCUGGUGGAGGGCCCUAUGGACACCCCAAUCCUGGGAUGUUCCCCUCUGGAACUCCAGGAGGACCAUAUGGCGGUGCAGCUCCCGGGGGCCCCUAUGGUCAGCCACCUCCAAGUUCCUACGGUGCCCAGCAGCCUGGGCUUUAUGGACAGGGUGGCGCCCCUCCCAAUGUGGAUCCUGAGGCCUACUCCUGGUUCCAGUCGG
rnacentral:lncRNA from 1 species